rnacentral:rRNA from 1 species
UCGGGUCUUAAUUGACUUGGUAACGCAGCUAACGCGUGAAGUAGACCGCCUGGGGAGUACGGUCGCAAGAUUAAAACUCAAAGGAAUUGACGGGGACCCGCACAAGCGGUGGAUGAUGUGGAUUAAUUCGAUGCAACGCGAAAAACCUUACCUACCCUUGACAUGGAAGGAAUCCUUGAGAGAUUGAGGAGUGCCCGAAAGGGAACCUUUACACAGGUGCUGCAUGGCUGUCGUCAGCUCGUGUCGUGAGAUGUUGGGUUAAGUCCCGCAACGAGCGCAACCCUUGCCAUUAAUUGCCAUCAUUUAGUUGGGCACUUUAAUGGGACUGCCGGUGACAAACCGGAGGAAGGUGGGGAUGACGUCAAGUCCUCAUGGCCCUUAUGGCCAGGGCUUCACACGUAAUACAAUGGUCGGUACAGAGGGUUGCCAACCCGCGAGGGGGAGCCAAUCCCAGAAAGCCGAUCGUAGUCCGGAUUGCAGGCUGCAACUCGCCUGCAUGAAGUCGGAAUCGCUAGUAAUCGCGGAUCAGCAUGUCGCGGUGAAUACGUUCCCGGGCCUUGUACACACCGCCCGUCACACCAUGGGAGUGGGUUUUACCAGAAGUAGGUAGUCUAACCGCAAGGGGGACGCUUACCACGGUAGUAUCCAUGACUGGGGUGAAGUCGUAACAAGGUAGCCGUAUCGGAAGGUGCGGCUGG